CUCAGCGCCAAGAGAGAGCACACACAUUGCUGAACUAGGGAGAGGCUAAGGAGCCCCUCAGCUAGUACAUUAGCUCAGGACCCUGGACAGCAUUUCAUUUGGAGGGGGGAAUGGCCACCUCUGUCCCCACACAACUCCACUGUCCCGGGGGCGCUCCCGACCUUCUGGUGCCUGGGCACGGAGCACCUCGUGCCCCUGCCCCUGGG